CUCUGCCUUCAUUUUCAGUCUCCAGGACUCUACCCCUGAGGAUGGUUCUGCUCUCACUGCCUGGGCUGCCUCCCUGCUGGCUGUGUAAGUAAGGAUGGUUUCCAGGUUCCUUGCUCUGGUUUGAGGACACUAGAAAUCUCAUGACCUUGCUCUGAUUUUUGUUAAGUGUCAAGACGAUAGCAUAUGUUUCCAGAGAGAUGACACGGGAAAAACUAUCUCUGGAAUUGCCACCCCAGAGCCUACUGCAGAUCCACAAAGCCACCUUUGGAACAAGAGGGAUGCUUCACACACAAGGAAGAUGCUCUUAAGGGUUUCAUGCAAGUCAGUGGAUGCUUGAUAUUUUCACUUUAAAGGGCAUUUAAAGGCCAACUUCAAUUGCAAGAGACUGUUUUGGUGUCCGUUCUUUGGAAGUGACUGUGCAAUACUUCAUCUCUAACGUGUUGCUUCCUGUCCUGCCACCAUCAGUCCUCAUCCUUUACCUCUGCAAGUUACACCGAAGUUCUUCAGGUGGUAGCUGAUGAGAGCAGUAACAGCUGCCCAGCUGGGGAUGAAGACACAAGAGCCUACUGCAGAACCACAGCUUCUCAGACCUUUGUACGUGCACAAGCCCUCUGUCUCACCUCCAAGAGAAAGCCAUCCAUCCCCUGUGGGAAUAUUUCUCCCGGGGUAACAACUUUACUAGGAAACUCAGCUAAGAGGCACAUUAACUGUCCAGCAGCCUAUUGGGAAGAGUGGUGGAGGGGGCGAUGUUAACUCAGGAGGAGAUCGUGUGUGUGGACCAGGAGAAAUACAGCCUUUCAUGACAUUGAGCAUUGUGAGAAGAGUGAGAACAUGUUUUCAGAUCAUCAGAAAUGAUUACCAAUUGAAAAGAACGCAGUGUUGCCUUUGCCAUAAUGAGAGGGGCUGAGAGGGCAGCUACAGCAAGGAUGUGGAGAGAAGGAGGGACAGUGAGUCUCCAGCAGCAGGGAGAACAGGGGCCACCCAGACCAGGAGACAGCAUCUAGAGGACUGGGGACAGUGGGCUAUUGCUCUGGCAUCUUCAUUUUCUGUUCCCUUCCACCCACUAGGCAGCCUUUGAAUUUUGAUUUAGCUUCCCUAGUAGACUUUCCUCCUGAAAAGACACAGUUCCCCUUAGAAAAAAAUGCAUGGCCUUUCUGUCUCAGACCAGUUUCAUUUGUUUGCACAGUAUAAGCCAGAUUUCCCCUAGAACCUGAUUAUCCUGGGUAAGCUGAAAAGCCAAAGUGAUAUGACCAGAGCUUGGCAACUCUUCAGAUAUGAGGGGUAAACGUUGAAGAAAGAGUCAAAGAUAACAUCAAAUUUCUAAGCCAGAGUUCCCAGAAGGAUGAUCUACCGCAUACAGAAUAGGAAAAGGUAGAAUCUAUCAAAGUAUUGACCUUCAGGCCUUCCCUCACCACCAACCCUCUAUCUUAAUAUCUUGCGGUGGAGGGUCUGUUGGAAAUAGUCUGUAAUUUCAGGGGCCAUAUUUCACUUCCACAUUCAUUUAAUAAUAAUUAUGUAUUAGGUGCUUACCACGUGCAGGACACUGAAAUGGAUGUUAUGAGAUUGUACAAGGAUGAAAGACUUAGCAUAUCAUCCAAGAAGCACAUUAGAGUUGCGUAGGGAAUAUAAGGCACAUGUAUAAGUAAUGGAAAAUGCAAAUGUAUUUGAUGCUGUCAGCUACAAAUAAGAGAAAAUUCCAACUUUUAAUUUGAUUCAAAG
ensembl:lncRNA